UUUUGAAGAUAAACAGUUUAAAAAUCAUGUUGUCUGACUGACUGCAUUAGUCAGCCGAGUAUAAACACGUUCUGAUUUAUUAUGUAAUAUUUUAUUUCUGUCCUUCAGAACAGCCCCAAAUGUUUGUCCCAGUUCGAUUGCUUGAAAUGGGCUUCUCAAUGAGACACAUCUACAGGGCCAUGGAGGCGGCAGGAGUGACGGGUGAGGUGGACUCGCGCACCAUUGAGGUGUUGGCGAGCUGGAUGCUGGAGCACCCCAUUGCAGAGGAGCAGCAGGCAGGAGAGGGUUCAUCUACAGGGGGCGCCACUGAUACACCCUCAUCUGAAGGGCCCGAGACGGUCCAGUGCCCUGAGUCCCCUGCACCUCUGACCCUGCAGGACAGCCGUGAACCUAACGAUAGGUAAAAGAGAACUAAUAUACAACAUAUAAAUCUCAUCUCUUGUAUAUGAAAGCUGCAAUCUAUAA
rnacentral:lncRNA from 1 species